rnacentral:lncRNA from 1 species
GUGGGUGGAUAACAAUAAUUUUUUUGCUUCUUUGUGCUUGUUUUGUUUGUGUAGUAGAGGUUUGGUGGAAUUGAAAUUAUGUGAUAGUUGGAUGAGGAUUAGUGUGGCGGAUUUUAUGGGAUUUGAUUGGUAAUGAGGCUAGUGGGGAGUUGAGAGUAUUAUUUUGAAUUUAAUUUAAUUUUAAUUUAAUUUUUUAUUUGUUUCCAAAUUUUUUUUUCUAUUUUCCUCACGUUUUUGGUUCUUUUGCUCAUUUUCUUUUGACCUUUUUUGGGUCCCUUCCCCUUUUGCCUCUUUCUUCAACUUCGGCCUCUAAUUGCUCAAUUUAAUCGUUGUCACUUGGAUCCUUUUUGGUUCUUCUUUCGGUUUAGUAAGUAGGGUUUGUACAGCCCAAUUUUGGGCCCAAACUAAAAAACCUUAAGCCCAAUUAUAGCCCAUAACCUAAACAGAGAACAGAAACCCUAGGAGCCGCCUCUGCCCCUGUCCCAUCGCACCAUGCCUGUUCCACCGCCCUUGUCAGCCACCUACUCCUCAACUUGCUCCAAUCACCUGCACGAAGAAAAGAUAGCAAAUAAAUGUUGUAACAAAUCGGCUAUAAAGCCGAAUAGAAACCAAUAUAAAAAGGGGGGUUCGUUUUUUGUCAUAAACUCAUACACAUCAAUUGAAACGAAAAAGAGAAAUCAAAAUACUAUUUUUCUCUACAAAGGCACAUCGUUUUUUUACUUAUAUUUUUAGAUAUAACAUACCAUAGAAGACACAUAGAUAUUUUCAAAGAAAAGAGAAGAAAAGCAUUACCUUUCUUGAGAUUGGAGGAAGAAACCGAGGGUUUAUUGUCUUUUGUUUUAUUUUUUAUUAAGAGUUUUGGGGUUUUUAAACGAGGAAGGGAAGGCCAAAUCGGCCGAAAAAAAGGGUGACUUGGGAACGCCGGCCACCGUAUACGGUGGCGGUUCGACGACGGCGGUGAAAUGGGUUCCUUUUGAAACCCAAACAGAUCUAAAAAUGAAGAAAAUGGGAGGGGGGCUGCUGGUCGUUUCUGGAAAAGAAAGAAAAUGAAAGAUUAUUAUUAUUUUUUAAAAAAUGGGCCUUUUAUAUGUUAAUAAAAUGACGCUGUUUUGGCAAGAAGGAAUAAUUCCUAUUUUCAUCCCUUUACUUUGUGCGUGUAUGGCAAUAUGGUCCUCCCUUUUUUUUUUCGAAUUUACCCACCAACUCCUGUUUUAAGCCAAUUUAGUCCCUUUUUUAGUUAUUUAGAUACUUUGUUAUUAAAAUUAUUUUUACUUUCUUUACUUUUAUUAUUUAUCGUUAACCAUUAUUAUUAUUUCCUUUUAUUGUUACUAACAUAUUAACCAAUUUAAUAUUAUUUUUGCCACUAUUAUUUUCCCUUUCAUUUACUUAUUGUUUAUUAUUAUUAGAUUAAGUUGAUAUAUUGUUAUUAUAUAUUAUUGUUAUAUUCCUAUUUAUAUUUGUUGUCUUAUUCUAAAAAUUACUAUUAUUUCUUUAUUUUUAUUUUAUGUAUUAUAUUAUUAGUUUUUACUAUUGUUAGUAUUAGUUUUAGCUUUAAUUAAUAUUUUUUAACAUGCAUAUAUAUAUACUUUUAUGUAAUAUUAUUAAUAAUUAUUUUUAAACAUUAUUAUUAUUUUUAAUACGUGCAUAUAUAUUAUGUGUAUAUAAUUGUUUUUAAUAUUAUAUUAUUUCUAAUAUGUAUAUAUUAUGUAUUUAUCUCUAAUACUAUACAUUGUAUAUUUCUAAUACUAUUAUGCUAUUACCAUUACUAUUAUUAUUAUUAUUACUUAUAUUAUUAUCAUUAUUAUCAUUAUGAUUUAUUACUUUAUUAUUAUCAUUAUUACUACUAUUAUAUUAUUAUUAUUAUAUUUUUACCCAUUACUCUUUAAAUACACUUAUUUUAUUUUUAUUUUUUCAGUCACAUUAUAUAUUAUUUACUUAUUUAUAUACACACAUACAUAUAUAUACUUUCACACAUCAUUCCAAAAUUAUUACUUGUAUUAUUACUAUUAAUAUUAUUAUUAUCAUUACUAUACUAUCAUUCUUUAGUUUUACAUAAUGAUUGUUUAUUUAUUACUCGUUCUUUUUAAUUUUGAAUAUUUCUUAGCUUAUUCGUUAUCAUUUUAUUUCAGCUCUUAUUAUCAUCGUUCGCAUUUGCUUCUAUGUUUAUUCUGUUAUGCCUAUGAAUAUCCAAAUUUGAAUUUAUUCACGCAUUCUUUAUUAUAUCAUUUUAUUGCAACUUACGUUAUAUUAAUCUUGCCCCGAAGAAAACAAAUUUUUUUCAUAAAAAGCGAUACUCUGUGUUUGGAAUUUCGAGAAAAUCGUGCCCUAACUUACUGGGUUUCGAUUUUUCUCCUUUAACCUAAAUAACGGAAUACUCUUUUAAAUCGCAAUACGAGUUUUGAAAAAUGCUUAUUCUCGGAGAUACGAUGUGUUGUGCCCUAACUUACCGGGUAUGGUAUUUUGUUACCUCAAAAUAAGAUUUUUGCAAGUAAAGGCAAUAUUCGGUGUUCGAAAAUUCGAAGAAACGUGCCCUAACUUACUGGGUUUCGAUUUUCCUCGUUCACCUUAACUAACCGAAUAUCCUUUUGAAAUACACGAAUUUUUAGGUAAAAGACAAGCUCAUUCUCAAAAGUUCGAUAUGUUGUGCCCUAACUCACUAGAUAUGACAUUUUGUUGCUUCGAGACGAGAAGAUAUUUAACGUUCGAAUGUUUUUACAAAAAGGGGGAUCGUAUUUCAAAGUUUUUUCGAGUUUUCAAUUUUCGACACUAAGACACUAAUUAAUCAACUAGGUACCAAUUUUUGGGCGUAUCGAGGGUGCUAAUCCUUCCUCAUGCGUAAAUGACUCCCGAACUCAUUUUCUAAUUUUCGUAGACCAGAAAUUAUCGUUUUAGUAAAUCUUAACUUUUAUUAAAAUGAUUAAUUUGAGGUGACCCAAUCACACCUCAUCAAAAAGGAUUGGUGGCGACUCCUUUGUUCGUUUUCAUUUUCAAAAUCCAAUUCGAUUCCCCUUUUUUUCAAAAAAUGGUUACGACAGCUUGGCGACUCCACUGGGGACGACAAAUAAGAGGGUCGAGCCACAAGUUGAUUAACUUUUGUCUUUUUUUCGAACAUUGAAAAUUUGGUUUUGAUAUACGAUAGCUUCAUUGCAUUUCACCUGUUUUCCUUACAGUUUUCAUCAUUUUAUUCCUAUUCUCUUUAAUUGCUUUGAGUUUUUUAUGCAUAUAUCAUCGUACAUUGCAUUGCAUGACCGUUGUGGUCACAUCCUUUAAGUGGGAGUGAAAAACUACUCAUUCGUGAGGUUUUCACCUCCGUGCAGGAUAGUAGAUCACUUUCGGGAUACAUCCGUACCUACGUUUUCGUGAGAUUUUCAUCUCCGUGCAGCCAUAGGAAAAUGUAUUCCCCUGAAAUGAACUCGGUCUGUAUGAGCCUAUAAUGGGUGAAAAUCGAGGAAUCUGCUGGUUCAGGUACCUUUACUCUAGAACCAAACUACAUAUAGAGAGACCUAGGAGCCCACCCUAGGUAGAGCCACUCCGAACCCCUAGUGGUCACCCAAAUUACUUUAUUUGUUUUUUAUUUAUCCUGUACUAACGUGUUUUGUUUUUGUCUUGUUUAUUACUGCAUUGCAUUACAUCAUUAUAGGAAGGAGGUGUUGAUUCAUAUUUGAUUUCUAAAUAGAACAGUUUGUCAUAAGAAAAUGAAUUUUUUGAUAAAGUGGAUUAUAACACGGUUGUCUAAAUAUGGUCCAAGUAAACACAAUGAAAGAAGGCUGAUAGUCCGCAAAGAAAUACAAGACUUUGCUUCAUUGCCUGAGGAUACAAGCCGUCAAAGAUUAUUCAAGAGUCGUCAUGUCUUAAAGGAGCUGACGAGUAUUGCAGGGACAAGUGAUCAAUGAGUCGCGGCCUGGAUCAAGCAAAAGAGAGUUAAUAUAGACAUCUCUUGGGGAAUUUGCAAGACUCGACCAUAAAAUCCGAAUGUGAAGAGGAAGAUAUGUGUCUUCACUUGGAAUAUGAGAAAGGCCGUAUAUGUAGUCCAUUUUAUGUAAAGGAAUUUGUUUUCUAAAAAAGUUGUUCUAAUGAAAUUGAAUUCAGAAUCAAUGCAUUCCUUUCUUUUGCAUUCAUUUCAUGCAUUUGCAUUGCAUUGCAUUAUUUGCAUUAGACUUUCCCUAAAAGAACCCUAAUUAGGUAAAAUUAUUUCAGUUAACCUGGGAACCGAUAAAAGUCAAGCGACUAGGCAUCUUUACGGUACAAGGAAAAGGAUAAAAGAUAUGGAUCAAAGAUUGGAAAGACUGGAACAACUUAAAAAAGAAAUGCAAGACCAGUUACAACUGCAAAUGCAAGAGCAACUGGCGAAGAUCCAACAAGACAUGAGGGACCAAAUGUUAGAAUCCCAAAGGGAUAUGAUGAAUCAGUUGUCCCAAUUACUGACUAAGGGGCUAAAAAAAAAGAAAAAAACUCCAUGAUCAAUGCUGGGGAGGAUAAUGAGGAGCCUCUGUACCCUCCGGGUUUCACCCCAACAAACGAUCAGAUAUGUCCCAGGGUGCACCUACUACUAUCAGAUCACAACAUCAGGUCGGUACCUCGACACCCAUGAACUACCCGACGGGCUCAAGUUCCAAUCCAAGGAACAGUCCAACCAAUCAUGAAGUUCUUAAUCUAGACGAAAUGGAAGGAAUAGAAAAAGCAAAGGUUGAACUGGCAAGACAACUCGAAGAUCGAUACAAGUGGUUGGAAGAAAAACUUAAAGUAAUGAAGAAUGCUGAUUACCAUUGCGGGGUCAAUGCCAAGGAUCUGAGUUUGGUCCCUGAUCUAGUACUCCCGCCAAAAUUUAAGACUCCAGAGUUUGAAAAGUACAAUGGGACUAGUUGUUCUAAAGCUCACAUCACAAUGUUCUGUCGAAGGAUGAUGGGAUAUGUUAAUAACGACCAAUUAUUAAUUCAUUGCUUCUAAGACAGCCUGAUCGGGUCAGCAACUAAAUGGUACAAUAAAUUAAGUCGUACUAAAAUCAAUUCAUGGAAAGACUUAGCACGGGCUUUCAUGAAGCAGUAUGGCCACGUGACAGACAUGGCGCCCGACAAAAUUACACUACAGAAUAUGGAAAAAAAAGCGAAGUGAGAGCUUCAGACAAUAAGCCCAAAGAUGGAGAGAGGUAGCAACACUAGUCCAGCCGCCUCUUCUGGAAAAGAAGACCACGAUGCUUUUCAUUAAUACUCUGAAAGCCCCGUUCAUUAACCAUAUGUUGGGAAGCACUACUCUGAGCUUCUCAGACAUAGUAAUAUCCGACGAGAUGAUUGAAAAAGCAAUCAGGAGCGGAAAGAUAGAUAAAUGAGAAAGCGCUAAAAGGUCAACCCCGAGAAAUAACGAAAAUGAAGUGAACAUUGUGAGCAUGCCGUCCAAAUUGAUCAACAUAGGCCAACCGAGGACUGUAACCACUAGCUAUCAAGGCUCUUUGAGGUAGGAAUCUAACUUGAGGCCGAAUACAGAAAGGUUUCGGUUUACACCCAUCCCAAUGUCAUAUAAAGAGUUGUAUCAAAAUCUCUUUGAUGUGCAUGUUGUGUCUCUGUCUUACUCGGAACCGUACAACCUUUGUUCCCGAAAUGGUAUAAUGAGAAUGCUCAAUGCGAGUACCACGCAGGAAUAACGGGGCACUCAAUUGAAAACUGCACUACAUUUAAAAAGUUGGUCGAAGAGUUCAUUGCAAUGGGAGUUGUGAAGUUUGACAAUUCCUCAUAACCAAAUCACUCCGACAAUGCAGUAAAUGCAAUUUGAAAGUGGGGGCAAGAGAGUUGCAAUGCCUUGAACAAGUCAAAAGCCUGGAAGAAAUAUCAGGGAAUCUGAAUGACUUAUCCGAAGAGGGAACCAGGGAAUAAAAGUUUCCAAACCCUUGCAUUACUUGGAAGUGUUUUGAACAAUGGGACUGUGGAAAAGAUCCCUUUAUUUUUAGAGUUAAUCUAGAGUAAUAUUCAAAACAUGCUUGUUGCUUUAAGCCUAGAAGCAAUUAGACCCCUUUUGUGAAAUAGGCUUGUGUCCUAAGUCUUUAUUUCAUAAAAUGCAUCUUUUUGAGCAAAUAUUCUUUGAUUUCAUAUUAUACAAAUAAUCGUUCUUAGAUUUAUUUGUUCUUUGGACUUUCUUUCAAAUAUUCAUGUAUACUUCAUCCAUGAUCAUACCAUACAAAUAAUCAUCCUUAGAAUUAUUUAUUUUUUAGAAUCUGCCUUCAGCGGGUCCCUAGAUAUCAAUGAUGUGAGUAUCGCUGUCAUUGACUCCGAGUCUCCUUUUGAGCGAAAUAUGGGCCUAAAGGAAUCUCAACACUUUGAAGAUGACAAAGAUUGUAGCACAUCUCCUAAUUUGUUAAGGAUGGUAGAGCAAGAUGAAAACAGAUUCUCUCUUACAAAAAAUCAGUGGACAAUAGGCCUAGAACAAGAGAAAGAGGCAAACAUUGGAGUCUGCAUCACCACAAAGACAAAGCGAGACAUCAUUGAGUCAUUCCAAGAAAUCAAAAAUGUUUUCACAUGAUCAUAUCAAGAUACGCUUGGGUUACUAAGACGUGAGGAUGCUACAAGGUGUUUGAACAGCAUAUGCUAAUGGUUCUAUAAUGGUCAGGCUAAUCAUGAGAUUUGGAUUCUGCCGGUCCACCAGAGAAGGGGAUUGUGUCAGUAUGCCAAAUUUAUGGAGAGAAAAUUCAUGUGUCCCUUCAUUCUUUCGACUUUCUCUAUGUGGGGCAUGGAGGUUAUAGGACCGAUCUCGUCGAAGGCUUCUAGCAGGCAUCAAUUACUUCGCCAAGGGGUGAAAGUCGCUUCAUAUGCCAAUCAUCAAAUCCUAAAAAAGAAGAAGAAGAAGAAGAAGAAGAAGAAGAUCAUGGAAAGAUGACUGAGACUUGUAAAGAUCGGCAUAAGAAGUCAUCAUGUACCCUCUAUGCUUAUCGAACGUCGACCAGGACCUUAGCUGGGGCAACACAUUGCUUGUUGGUUUAUGGGAUAGAAUCGGUUUUGAAGAUGAGAUUCCUUUUCUCCGAGUCUGGUCAGAGUUGAAGUUAGAUAAGGCAGAAUGGAUCCAAUCCUGAUAGGAUCAAUUGAAUUUGAAAAGAGAAGGUUGAAAGCUAUCUGUUGAAGUCCAAUGCACUGAAAAUUGAUGCAAGCUACGACAGAAAUUUUCGUCCUAGAGAAUUCCACGAGGGGGACCUAGUGCUGAAAAUAUACUUUUUAUACAAAAGAACUUCAAAGGAAAGUGGACCAAAUUGGGAAGGACCUUAUGUAGUGAAGAAGGUCUGUUCUAGAGGAGCAUUGAUUCUAGCCGAAAUGGAUGGUAAAAAUUUGCCCAAUCUUGUGAAUUCAGAUUUUGUCAAGAAGUGUUUCACCUAGAAAGUGAGAAGGCCAAGGCGAAAACCCGCAAAGGACGCUUUGAGACAUUCCAAAAAAAAAAUGAAUGAACAAGAAAAAGAAAAAAAAAGAGGAGAGGCCAUGGCAAAAACCCGCAAAGGGCACCUUGAGACCUAAGGGGAUUUGAGUUGAACACCCGAAAGGGGCGGCUCAAAUUUGGAUCAAAGUGGGGCAUACGUUAGUCUUGCUAUGCCUGAAUUAACAAUGAAGAAGUAUGCUACAUCUUGGGGCAUCGACAAAGUACUCCGGAUCCCCUAAACACAUAUUGGGCUCAGAAAGGUCCUCAAGAAGUUGGUAUAGAGAAGCUCAAGCUGCGAUAUCUGGGGGCAUCUGGCUUCCAUUUUGCCCAUUUUGAAUUUGUUAUCUUUGAUUCUUUUCAAGAUAUGUCUGAAUAAAUUUUCUUCUUAUUGCAUUGCAAUCUUUGAUUAACUUAUUCAUUUUCAGUUAAUUUCCUCCUUAUUGCAUUUGCAAUCUUUGAUUAAUUUAUUCAUUUCGAGCUAUGCUCCCAAUCAAGUUCCUUCUUGUCCAUUGUUUUAAUAUUUUUAGCAUUUUGUAUUGAAAUAACGAUUAAUGAACUAAUAAUACUUUCACAAAAGAAGCUCUGCAUAUUACUUUGGAAGCUUCUAAAUAGUACAUGAGCCUGAAACAGGACUAUUAUUCAGAACUCACCAAGCCCAAGGGCUGGAAAUAUUUAAGCCCAAAUUGAAAUUAUCUCAUUGGGUUUUCUGUCAAAGAUAUUGGUUGAGCAAAAAGAAAUUACAUUGGUGUUAUAAUCCCAGCAAAGAACCAGCAAUGGGAUUAUUCUCGUGAAAAGAAAAAUGAUACUCUGCAUUUAUGCAAAUAUCAAGCAUAUACAUCUGGUCAUUACACCCAGGGAAUGGUGUAACAGAUCAAAUUGAUUGAAGAUGAUACUAAUCCUAUACCUUUGAGUUGCAGCAGGAUGGAUGGAAGAAACCAAAUGUUGUUCCUCUGAAAAUGCAAUGGGAGGCACAAACUUUAUGUCCCAGAAGGUACAGUGGAAGGGACUCUGAAAUUACAGCUGGGUAAGCUUGCUGAGCAAAUGUGAUUAUUUCUUUGACUUUUCUGUCAAGAAUACCAACCGAACAAGAUGGCCGCGUAAUACGUCAGUGAUAAUGUCCUGAUGAACAACGAGCGAUGAUACCUUAAGCCUUUUUAAAGGGAUCAUUUUCAUUCAUAUGUCAUUCAUAACAUAUCUAAUUAGGAGCAUUUGAUUCAUUUUGAUCAUAGCCUCCUAAUUAUUUGACACAUUCAUAACACAUCUAGUUAGGAGCAUUUGAUUCAUUUCAAUCACAGCAUCCUAAUCAUUUGACAUAAGCAUAGAUACAUGAAACUGAUUCUACAAGUCAUGUCCUUAUAAUCAGUGAAUUCACAAGCCUUAACCCCCUAAGCAGUAGGGCAACAGGCUGAAUUGACAGAUCUUAAUCCCCUAAGCAGUAGGGAAACAGAUCGAAGGUAACAAGCCUUGACCCCCUAAGCAGUAGGGUAACAGGCUGAAGAUUUGCAGACCUCAUCACCCUAAGCAGUAGGGAAACAGAUCAAAGACGGCGAGCCUUAACCCCCUAAGCAGUAGAGUAACAGGCUGAAUUACAAAUCACUUCUCCCUGAAAUGGCGUUGGAGCAGCUAGAAGCCAUAGCAGACUCCUUGAAGUUUCAGUGGAGUAGAUUGAAAUCACAAGUCUUAUCUCCCUGAAGUUGCAGUGGAGCAGACUAAAUAUAGCAAAUCUUAUUUCCCUGAAGUUGCAGUGGAACAGAUUGAAGCUAUAAAUCAUAGAUCUCAUCUCUCUGAAGUUGCAGUAGAGCAGAUCAACACAAGUCUUAUCUCCCUGAAGUUGCAGUGGAGCAGACUAAAGAUAGCAAAUCUUAUUUCCCUGAAGUUGCAGUGGAACAAAUUGAAGCUAUAAACCAUAGAUCUCAUCUCUCUAAAGAUGUAGUAGAGCAGAUCAACACAAGUCUUAUCUCUCUAAAGUUGCAGUGGAGUAGACUAAAGAAAGAAAAUUUUAUUUCACUGAAGUUGCAGUGGAACAGAUUGAAGCUAUAAACCACAGAUCUCAUCUCUCUGAAGAUGUAGUAGAGCAGAUCAACACAAGUCUUAUCUCCCUGAAGUUGUAGUGGAGCAGACUAAAGAAAACAAGUCUUAUUUCCCUGAAGUCGCAGUGGAACAUAUUGAAGCUAUAAAUAAACAGAUCUUAUCUCUCUGAAGUUGCAGUAGAGCAAAUCAAAAUAAACUUUAUCUCUCUGAAAUCGCAGUAGAGCAGUAAAGCGGAGUGAAGCAAUAAGAUGCAGUGGAUUUGAAUGAAGCUACCUGAAGAAAAGGAGCACUAAACAAGUCAAAACACGGUGAGACCGAACAAAAUUGGUCUUUCUUAAUUCUUUGCUCUGUUCUCAUUACACGACAACAAGCAAAGAAGGGUAGCUUUACAACCCAAUUUUGGGCCUAAACUAAAAAACCGUAAGCCCAAUUACAGUCCAUAACCUAAACAGAAAACAGAAACCCUCGGAGCCGCCUCUUCUCCCUGUCCCAUCGCACCAUGCCUGCUCCACCGCCUUUGUCAGCCACCUACUCCUCAACUUGCUCCAAUCGCCUGCACGAAGAAAAGAUAGCAAAUAAAUAUUGUAACAAAUAGGCUAUAAAGCCGAAUAGAAACCAAUGUAAAAAGGGGGGUUCGUUUUUUGUGAUAAACUCAUACACAUCAAUUGAAACGAAAAAGAGAAAUCAAAAUACUAUUUUUCUCUACAAAGGUACAUCGUUUUUUUACUUAUAUGUUUAGAUAUAACAUACCAUAGAAGACACAUAGAUAUUUUCAAAGAAAAGAGAAUAAAAACAUUACCUUUCUUGAGAU